GGUCUGAUUGCAGAGUGGUUACUGCGCCAAGGUUUGAUUCGGUGCCAAUAAACGCUCCCUUGGCUAUUCCCUGUUCGACUCAGGGUCAGACCG